AAACUAUAUAGAAAUACUUCAUUAUUAACAGACCCUUAAAUAAUAUGCAUGAGUUACAUGUUGAUCCACAAGAUAAGAUCCUGUCCUAAAAACACUCAAAUAUAUUCAAAUGAUUUCUCAUUCUCAGGACUGGAUGUAAACUCAGUGGUUUCCUGUUCAUACAGAUGUAAAUAGUUCACUUGGUGUUGAAGUUAAAGAGGAUCAGAAGCUCAUCCAUUCAGCUUCCACACAUCAUGUUUUCUGUCACUCUGCUGCUGCUGUUGGCAGCUGGAUCCUAUGUGAGGUGUGAAACACUGACACAACCAGCCUCCAUGACUGUACAACCAGGUCAACGUCUGACAAUCACCUGUCAGGUUUCUUAUUCUCUGAGCAGCUGGUACACAGCUUGGAUCAGACAGCCUGCAGGGAAAGGACUGGAGUGGAUUGGGAUGAAAGACACUGGAGCUUCAUACUAUAAAGAUUCACUAAAGAACAAGUUCACUAUUGAUGUAGAUACUUCCAGUAACACAGUGACUCUGAAUGGACAGAAUAUGCAGCCUGAAGACACGGCUGUGUAUUAGUGUGCG